UACGGAGGGUGCAAGCGUUGUUCGGAAUCACUGGGCGUAAAGCGCGUGUAGGCGGCCAUUUAAGUCUGGUGUGAAAGCCCUGGGCUCAACUCAGGAAGUGCACUGGAUACUGGAUGGCUGGAGUACCGGAGAGGAGGGUGGAAUUCCUGGUGUAGCGGUGAAAUGCGUAGAUAUCAGGAGGAACACCGGUGGCGAAGGCGUCCCUCUGGCCGGAUACUGACGCUGAGACGCGAAAGCGUGGGGAGCAAACAGG
rnacentral:rRNA from 1 species